AUCAGGUCCGGCUGUGACAGAGUCAGGGAUGAUAUCAGAGCAGCUUCAACCCACACUUGAUCGAAAGGAGGAGGCGCCGUAAACACAGUUGAGGGAAUUGAGCACCGGUAAGUACCGUGCGUGUCCCCCGGGGCAUUCACUAUUCCUAUUUUAAGGGUUUAGUCUAUCCCCGAGUGUUUUCCGCCUUCUUUUAGCCUCAGUGAACCAAGUUCAGUGAUCCAAUCAGCCUGAAUCGGACAAAAGAAACUCUAACUCGAAGGAUGGGAUCU
rnacentral:lncRNA from 1 species